UGAUCCUGGCUCAGGAUGAACGCUAGCGGCAGGCUUAACACAUGCAAGUCGAGGGGUAGAAGUCUUCGGACUUUGAGACCGGCGCACGGGUGCGUAACGCGUAUGCAAUCUACCUUUUACAGAGGGAUAGCCCAGAGAAAUUUGGAUUAAUACCUCAUAGUAUAAUGACUCGGCAUCGAGAUAUUAUUAAAGUCACAACGGUAAAAGAUGAGCAUGCGUCCCAUUAGCUAGUUGGUAAGGUAACGGCUUACCAAGGCUACGAUGGGUAGGGGUCCUGAGAGGGAGAUCCCCCACACUGGUACUGAGACACGGACCAGACUCCUACGGGAGGCAGCAGUGAGGAAUAUUGGACAAUGGGCGCAAGCCUGAUCCAGCCAUGCCGCGUGCAGGAUGACGGUCCUAUGGAUUGUAAACUGCUUUUAUACGAGAAGAAACACUC
rnacentral:rRNA from 2 species